rnacentral:rRNA from 1 species
GACGAACGCUGGCGGCGCGCUUAACACAUGCAAGUCGAACGGAAAGGCCUGCUUUCCCUUGUGGGUUGCGGGUACUCGAGUGGCGAACGGGUGAGUAACACGUGAGUGGUCUGCCCCCAACUUGGGUAUAAGCCUGGGAAACUGGGUCUAAUUCCCGAUAGGACUGCAGGGUGGUGCCUGUGGUGGCAAACGAUGUUCUAGUGGUUGGGGCUGAGCUCGCGGCCUAUCAGCUUGUUGGUGGGGUAAUGGCCGACGAGGGCGGGGACGGGUAGGCGGUCGGGGGGUGGGGAGAGUGACAUGGGGACUGGGAACCUGCCCAGACACCUACGGGAGGCAGCAGUGGGGGAUAUUGCAGAAGGGGCGGAAGCAUGAUGCAGCGACGCCGCGUGGGGGAUGACGGCCUGCGGGUUGUAAACUCCUUUCGACCGCGAGGAAGCCACCUGGUUGGAAGGGUGGUGACGGUAGUGGUAGAAGAAGCACCGGCUAACUACGUG